rnacentral:rRNA from 1 species
GACAGAGGGCCCCGAGCGUUAGGCGGAAUCACUGGGCUUAAAGCGUGUGUAGGCGGGCCCGUAAGUGUCUUGUGAAAUCCCAACGGCUCAACCGUGGAACUGCUGGGCAUACUGCGGGUCUUGGGCCAACUAGGGGCAGCCGGAACAAGCGGUGGAGCGGUGAAAUGCGUAGAAUAUCGCUUGGAACGCCGAAGGUGAAAACAGGCUGCUGGGGUUGCGCCGACGCUGAGACACGAAAGCCAGGGGAGGCAAACGGG